UACGUAGGGUGCGAGCGUUGUCCGGAAUUACUGGGCGUAAAGAGUUCGUAGGCGGUUUGUCGCGUCGUUCGUGAAAACUUGGGGCUUAACUCCAAGCGUGCGGGCGAUACGGGCAGACUUGAGUACUACAGGGGAGACUGGAAUUCCUGGUGUAGCGGUGAAAUGCGCAGAUAUCAGGAGGAACACCGGUGGCGAAGGCGGGUCUCUGGACAGUUACUGACACUGAGGCACGAAGGCCAGGGGAGCAAACGGG
rnacentral:rRNA from 1 species